GAGAAACUGAAGCCAGAAUACUUGGAGGAACUUCCUACAAUGAUGCAGCACUUCUCACAGUUCCUGGGGAAGAGGCCAUGGUUUGUUGGAGACAAGAUCACCUUUGUAGAUUUCCUCGCCUAUGAUGUCCUUGACCUCCACCGUAUAUUUGAGCCCAAGUGCUUGGACGCCUUUCCAAAUCUGAAGGACUUCAUCUCCCGCUUUGAGUGUUCCAGGUGUUCCCCCUGUGAGAUGAGUAGCACACUGAUUUUACUCCUAUUCACCGACCUUCUUCUCUGCAUGAGGCAGGGUGUGAGGCACAGUGGGAGAUGCAUAGAUGACUGCCCCCUCCUGGAAAUGAGUGCAGUGAGAGGCCUGCAGGCAGAGCAGCCUCUGAGGGCUUGGAGAAGAUCUCUGCCUACAUGAAGUCCAGCCGCUUCCUCCCAAAACCUCUGUACACAAGGGUGGCUGUCUGGGGCAACAAGUAAUGCCUUGAAGGCCAGGAGGUGGGAGUGAGGAGCCCAUACUCAGCCUGCUGCCCAGACUGUGCAGCGCAGCUGGACUCUGCAUCCCAGCACCUGCCUCCUCGUUCCUUUCUCCUGUUUAUUCCCAUCUUUACCCCCAAGACUUUAUUGGGCCUCUUCACUUCCCCUAAACCCCUGUCCCAUGCAGGCCCUUUGAAGCCUCAGCUACCCACUAUCCUUCGUGAACAUCCCCUCCCAUCAUUACCCUUCCCUGCACUAAAGCCAACCUGACCUUCCUUCCUGUUAGUGGUUGUGUCUGCUUUGAAGGGCCUGCCUGGCCCCUCGCCUGUGGAGCUCAGCCCCGAGCUGUCCCCAUGUUGCAUGACAGCAUUGACUGGUUUACAGGCCCUGCUCCUGCAGCAUGGCCCCUGCCUUAGGCCUACCUGAUCAAAAUAAAGCCUCAGCCACA
rnacentral:sRNA from 1 species